AGUGAACGCUGGCGGUAGGCCUAACACAUGCAAGUCGAACGGCAGCACAGUAAGAGCUUGCUCUUACGGGUGGCGAGUGGCGGACGGGUGAGGAAUACAUCGGAAUCUACUUUUUCGUGGGGGAUAACGUAGGGAAACUUACGCUAAUACCGCAUACGACCUCCGUGUGAAAGCAGGGGAUCUUCGGACCUUGCGCGAUUGAAUGAGCCGAUGUCGGAUUAGCUAGUUGGCGGGGUAAAGGCCCACCAAGGCGACGAUCCGUAGCUGGUCUGAGAGGAUGAUCAGCAACACUGGAACUGAGACACGGUCCAGACUCCUACGGGAGGCAGCAGUGGGGAAUAUUGGACAAUGGGAGCAAGCCUGAUCCAGCCAUACCGCGUGGGUGAAGAAGGCCUUCGGGUUGUAAAGCCCUUUUGUUGGGAAAGAAAAGCAGCAGGUUAAUACCCCGCUGUUCUGACGGUAACCAAAGAAUAAGCACCGGCUAACUUCGUG
rnacentral:rRNA from 1 species